rnacentral:rRNA from 1 species
AUUGAACGCUGGCGGCAGGCCUAACACAUGCAAGUCGAGCGGAGCGGCGGACGGGUGAGUAAUUCCUAGGAAUCUGCCUGGUACUGGGGGAUAACGUCCGGAAACGGGAGCUAAUACCGCAUCCUAUCAGAUGAGCCUAGGUCGCAUUAGCUAGUUGGUGGGGUAAAGGCUUACCAAGGCGACGAUCCGUAACUGGUCUGCGAGGAUGAUCAGUCACACUGGAACUGAGACACGGUCCAGACUCCUACGGGAGGCAGCAGUGGGGAAUAUUGGACAAUGGGCGAAAGCCUGAUCCAGCCAUGCCGCGUGUGUGAAGAAGGUCUUCGGAUUGUAAAGCACUUUAAGUUGGGAGGCGUUACCAACAGAAUAAGCACCGGCUAACUACGUGCCAGCAGCCGCGGUAAUUC